ensembl:snRNA U2 U2 spliceosomal RNA
AUCGCUUCUCGGCCUUUUGGCUAAGAUCAAGUGUAGUAUCUGUUCUUAUCAGUUUAAUAUCUGAUACGCCCCCGAUUCGGGGGCAACGUAUUAAACGCAUUUUUAGAACAGGGAGCUGAAUAAGGGGCUCGCUCCGUUCGCUCCACGCAUCGACCCGGUAUUGCAGCGUCUCCGGGAACGGUGCCCCCUUU